rnacentral:tRNA from 3 species
GCCGGGGUGGCGGAACUGGCAGACGCACAGGACUUAAAAUCCUGCGGUGAGUGAUCACCGUACCGGUUCGAUUCCGGUCCUUGGCACCA